rnacentral:lncRNA from 1 species
UUGCCUAGGCAAAUCACCAUAUACAAUAGAUGCAGUGACACCUUUUCCGUACAUCUUUACUCUUCCCCCUUUAUCUUGCCCAGCAACUUGAGAAAAUAUAUCAUCCGGGCCCGUAUCUUGAGGUAUCUCCAUUCUGCUGUAUCUCCAUUCUGCUGAUCUAGAGUUCCAGCAGAUACCAGCAUGCCAUUCUUCGUUCUUGCCAUACCUGAAAUAUUACAAACUGUAAAUUCAAUCUUAACAGUGAAAAGUUAUUAAAACUAGUAAUUAUAAUCAAUAAAUUAAUAAAAUUGCCCCAUAAAUACUAUCUAAAGAUGAAUAAUAGUAUAAUGAUUCAUUACUGUUAUUGUCCAUGAAAAGAAAUUCUCAUUCAUUAUCAUUAUAAGAAAGAAUAACUCUAAUACAAAACAGUAAAUACUAAAUGCAGCUGAGCACGUCCUAUGUAUCUUCUACAUGAUUUUCUUCUAAGUGAUCCACUGGAUUUUCUACUACUACUUUCCGUGUUUUGCAAAUACCGUUUCUACAUUUCUUACAGGGGCACAAGAUUAGCCCAUCGUUUGAAUUUGAGAAGGCAAAGUUAAGAAAACUAUGCAAUCCUGUUUGAUACUCUGUGCUUGACCUUGGGGAAUCCAUCCAUUUUCUAUCCAUGCUAAUCGUUUCGACUGGAAAGGCAACUAUUACAAUAGACAAUAAGAAUAUAUAUAUAUAUAUAUAUAUAUAUAUAUAUAUAUAUAUAUAUAUAUAUAUAUAUAUAUAUAUAUAUAUAUAUAUAUAUAUAUAUAUAUAUAUAUAUAUAUAUAUAUAUAUAUAUAUAUAUAUAUAUAUAUAUAUAUAUAUGUAUAUGGGUGGAGACAAACUGCAAUACAAAGUUAAGGAAUAGAAUUUUUCUGGUAUUUCUUAUUCAAACCUGUAUAACACCUUCUGUCUUUGAGUAAAAUAGCUUCAAGAUAGGGAAAUUAAUAUCUCACAAAUUAGCCUGUAUGAAAAUUUCAAACACAAUAUUUAAUUUAUGAAGUUAAUUUCCAAACAAUAAAUUUCAGAAAUCACAGUAUGAUAAUCCCAAAUCUUCAUCAGACAGCAACAAAAAAUUGAAACAAUAAAUGAAUGAAUUUUUCCAAGAAAUUCAAAAAAAAAAAAAAGUAUAAAGAAAUAUCUUAACCAGCAUUAACAUGUGAAUUUAUAUUCUAUUAUUUUAUGAAUUUAUUCCAAAGUUUUAAUAAGUGCAUCCCUUAACCUUUCUUUCAGUGUAAUCAGAUUUUUUUUACAUCACCAUACUAAAUCUCACCCAAUACCCACGUUGAACCAAAUCUCACCCAAUCCACUCUAAUUUCGUUUAAGGUGCACCAAAUUCAUGAAGUAGACGAAAGAUCAUACAACUUUGUUCGAGAAAAAAAAUUAUUAAAUAAUUUUGAAACAAAAUAUUUAGGUCAUGAAACAAAGACUUAUAUUACCUACCAGAGUUCUUCAGUAAUUUUAAUAUACCUGUCCAGAAAUCAUCACAUAUUUUGAUUGUUAAGAAUCAAAGCAGAUGACGGGGAAAUUCUCAAACUAAAUUAAAUUCACAGGCACCUGUACCGCCGUUUGCACGAAAGGAAGAAGAAACCGGGCUGGAGUGCACCGCCGAUUGAACAAAAAGGAAGAAGGAAACGGGGAAUGAAAGGGUUAGGGAUUUGGUGAAAAGCGAGAAGAAAACGGGAUAUGAAAGGGUUAGGGAUUUGGCAGAAAUCUUUUUUUUCUCCUUUGUAAGUGAAAUGGGC